GCUGGCGGCGUGCCUAAUACAUGCAAGUCGAGCGGAUCGAUGGGAGCUUGCUCCCUGAGAUCAGCGGCGGACGGGUGAGUAACACGUGGGUAACCUGCCUGUAAGACUGGGAUAACUCCGGGAAACCGGGGCUAAUACCGGAUAACACCUACCCCCGCAUGGGGGAAGGUUGAAAGGUGGCUUCGGCUAUCACUUACAGAUGGACCCGCGGCGCAUUAGCUAGUUGGUGAGGUAAUGGCUCACCAAGGCGACGAUGCGUAGCCGACCUGAGAGGGUGAUCGGCCACACUGGGACUGAGACACGGCCCAGACUCCUACGGGAGGCAGCAGUAGGGAAUCUUCCGCAAUGGACGAAAGUCUGACGGAGCAACGCCGCGUGAGUGAAGAAGGUUUUCGGAUCGUAAAACUCUGUUGUUAGGGAAGAACAAGUGCCGUUCGAAUAGGGCGGCGCCUUGACGGUACCUAACCAGAAAGCCACGGCUAACUACGUGCCAGCAGCCGCGGUAAUAC
rnacentral:rRNA from 1 species